GCGAGAGAAAAAAAACAGUGUGUGAGACUGCGCUCAGGAGACACUGUCACAGUGUUUUUGACAGUGUUUUGGAGCACUAGGGAUAUCACUGGGACAUUAGAGAAGACAAAGUCCAUAAGGAGCACAUGGCUGUACCAGUGAAGCUGUCCCUGGAUGCUUUGCUGCAGAUGUCCAGUUGUCAGGUGCAGGACACCAUGAGACGGCUGGGCUCCAACCCAGAGGAAUGCUCUCGACUCACCGUUGCCCUCUCCUGCCUGAAGAAUGCUACUGAGAUCGGUGGGGACAUCAGGGAAGACACAGGAACCUUGAUAACAGAGUCGCCCCGCUGUGACAGUAACACAUUACCUCCUCUGGACCGUCGCCCCUCCCCCGCCACACUACCCUGUGGCCCCAUCCUCAGUCCCCACACCCAUGCCCGUUCUGUCUCUGUGACUGUUGUACCCUGUGUGGACGAUAAGGGGCAUAAAGUCUACACAGGCGACAUGACGGACACCUUCCCCUCCUCGCCACUGCUCCUCUCCAAUUUCCCUCCCUCCAAGAGACGCACCAAGCACCCCCCACGUGUGCCCCCACCCCCCUCCCGAAUGCUGCUGCAUCUCCCCUUCAACAUCACCCUCACACGCAGCAAGAGCCACGAGUCACAGCUGGCCAAUCGCAUAGAAGAGCCAGUGCCCAACAACAAGAGGGGGAAGAAGAAUAAGCUGCUCCUGAACGUGCACAUCAACAGUAGCAGUGGGAACGAGUGUGAAGACUCCGCCUGCACCCCUGGUCCGGCCACCACCCCCUACACCCUCCCAGGCACCCCCACGCUGCUCGAACAUAACCUGGCAUUGCACCGGGGGUCUCCACAGAUAAUGAGGAGAGAUAUCGGCCUCUCUGUAACACACAGGUUUUCAACCAAAUCCUGGCUCUCACAGACAUGCCAGGUGUGUCAUAAGAACAUGAUGUUUGGUGUUAAGUGCAAACACUGCAAGUUAAAGUGCCAUAACAAAUGUACCAAAGAAGCCCUUCCCUGCAGGAUAUCUUUUCUUCCACGUAAGCCCUUGUCAAUUCCUGCAUAUAAAACGACAAAAAAUGCACAAUGUAAUUAUCUUUUUCCCGAUACAUCCCAAGAAUGUCAAUUUAGUACUGAAUCAUUGUUCUCCUAUUUUUCAGUCCCGCAAAUCCGCCGGGCAGAAUCUGUACCAUCCGAUAUCAAUAAUCAAAUUGACCGCACGGCAGAGUUACCAAUCCAGUUUGGCACUUUACCUAAGGUGCUAACCAAAAAGGACUACCCUCCCAUGCUGAGCCAGAUGGAUUCCAGCAGUAACCCCUCCUCCACCACUUCCUCUACACCCUCCUCGCCCACCCCCUUCCAGCAGAGCAACCUCCCCAGCGUCACCGCCACACCGCCCCCCAAUCCCUCGCCCGGACCCCAGGGGCCCCGAGACAGCCGAUUCCACUUCCCAGACGUUUCCUCUUCACCGUAUCCUGUUGGACUAGACUCUGAAGGCCACCAUGGCACUGGAGACACACAGCAACUGGCCCAAUCAGAACAUCCAUCUCAGGGACAGGAAGGAGGAUCGGAAGAGGAGGCAGAAGAUGAGGAAUACCUAGGAGAGGAGGAUGAGGGAAAUGGUAGCAGGGAGAGCAGAGAGAAGGGCCACACAAACGGAGAGUGUGAUGGGGACGAGUUAGAGGACCUGCCCAGCUACCGGGGCAGGAUGGCCGGGGGCCGAUGGAGGGAACCCAUCUCCCGUAAGGCCAGCCAGACCAGCGUGUACCUGCAGGAGUGGGACAUCCCAUACGAGCAGCUGGAGCUGGGGGAGCUCAUUGGCAAGGGCCGUUGGGGGAAGGUGCAUAAGGGGCGCUGGCAUGGAGAGGUGGCCAUCCGGCUGCUAGAGAUAGAUGGUAAUAACCAGGACCACCUGAAGCUGUUUAAGAAGGAGGUGAUGAACUACAGGCAGACCCGCCACGAGAACGUGGUCCUCUUCAUGGGGGCCUGUAUGGCCCCGCCACACCUCGCCAUCAUCACCAGUUUCUGCAAAGGUCGGACACUAUUCUCAGUUGUAAGAGAUGCCAAGAACACACUAGACAUCAACAAGACAAGGCAGAUUGCUCAGGAAAUUGUUAAGGGUAUGGGCUACCUUCAUGCUAAAGGAAUCGUUCACAAGGACCUGAAGUCCAAGAAUGUGUUCUAUGACACAAACAAAGUGGUAAUCACAGACUUUGGUCUUUUUGGAAUGUCCGGAGUGGUACAAGAGUACCACAAGAGGCGAGAGAACGAACUAAGGCUCCCUCAUGGCUGGAUCUACUACCUGGCCCCUGAGAUCGUCCGCAGGAUGGGUACUGGGAACCAUGAGGACCGCCUGCCUUUCUCCAACGCUGCAGACGUCUACGCCUUUGGGUGCACACCAUUUCCGGCCGUCUUAUAUCCUGCCAUAAUAAUAAUAAUACUGCAUUUACUUAAAUAUAGGACAUCUGAAUGCUUUUAGAAAAUUUAGCUCAAAACAAACAACACUGGAUUUUUGGGGGAUAUAUACAUAAAUCGGUUGAAAUGUGGCUCCCCAUGAAAUGAAUGUGUGUAUGCUGUUUGUAUACAGGGUUAAGACUGAGGGGCUAACCAUACAGUAUAUUUCACCCCCAGAACCAUUUGGUACGAGCUGCAGGCCCGUGGCUGGCCACUCACCAACCAGCCAGCAGAGGCCACCAUCUGGCAGGUGGGCAGCGGAGAGGGCAUCAAGAAGGUCCUGGCAAAGGUCAGCCUGGGCAAGGAGGUCACGGAGAUACUGUCUGCCUGUUGGUCCUUCAAGCCAAAAGAGCGUCCCUCCUUCACCCAGCUGACUGACAUGCUGGAGAAGCUGCCGAAGCUCAACCGCAGGCUCUCCCACCCAGGACACUUCUGGAAGUCAGCCGAGUAUGUAUCCUAAAGACCAGAAUCCCAUUUGAGAUGUACUGUAUAUACACUCUGUAUAUAUUUAAAAUACUUCUCCUAUGUCUAUGGGGAUGCCACUCCUGAUGGCGUUGGGUUCCCUCAUGGCUCACAAUGCACCUGGAUGGAGCCGGGAGAACAUGGGCUGUUUGUAUGAGUGUGUAAAUAAGAAUGUGUUUAUGGUGGAGAGGUGUAGCCCUCCGAAACACCUGGGCCUACUGUAUGUUUUUUUGGAAGCCCUUUGAUUUAAAUAACUAAAAGGGAUGACUGUGAUACAAAUCACCAGCUUUAUAUGCAGUUGUCUUCAAUAGGGAAUUUUAGCUAAAAGAUAGAAAUUUUAGUAAAGGUUGAACAGGACAAAAGGUGAAAUAGCCUGUUGAAACGGUUUGGUUUGUGACUGUUCAUUUCAGAGCUGAUUGUUUUGAUUCCCUAAAUCUGUCCAUGUUUCAAAGAGAGUAUACUUUAUAAUAGCACCACCCCCUACCCCUCUCCCUGUCUCUAUGCUGUCCAUCUCUGUGGGCAGUGAUUGGAGGCUUGAGUGUCCCACCUCUUCUGUGUCCCCCUUUCUGUGAAUAUUUGUCAUACCUCUCUCUCUUGACAUCUCUGUUUGGGUCUCCCUCCCUCUCUGGGCGCUGCUGCUCUCUCCUGGAUGACCACUGACUGACUCCACCUGUUCCUGCUCCACUUCACCCUCCCUGUCUCCCUUGGACCCUUCCUCCUUCUCCACCUCCUCUUUACUGCCAACCCCCUCAAACCCCCUUCCCAUAUCAUUUUUUUCCUCCUCCGUGAACAUCUUCUCCUAUUGAAUCUUCCCUCCUCCACUCCUCUCCUUGAUCUAUCCCAUCCUACUUUCUUCUUCUCUCCUUGCUCUCUGUGUGAAGGCCCUGGGUUCAUCAUCAUUGCCUGCGGGACCAUUGCAGUAAGGGCCUGCAGUCUCGCUGCCCCUACAUAUACAAAUAACACAUCUCUCAGUGGCAACUUGUGCUUAUCAAUUCUAAGGAAUAGCCUGUUUGGUAUUAGAUUCAGAGGAAUUCAGAGGAAUGGAUGACCCUGCAUAAUGACAUCAACUGGUAUCGCAGCCAAUAGAGUAACCAAUAUAUAGAGUAAUGUAUCUUUGUCAACUUGCUAAAUGUACCAUAAUGCACUGCCUGGGUUGUUUGUUAGUUCGUUGUUCUUUGCCUAACUGCAGUUCAUGUAUUGACAUUUUGGUACUAGUAGUGGCUAAUGCAAACGGUCUAGUCUAACCGCUUGCUUUCUUUAAAGUUUCCUCUCUCUCUCUCUCGCGCUACCUCUCUUCUCUCUCUCACCCUACAACUUAGGUUCUAGCCUUCAGUAUGCAAGAGGAAGUAAUACUAUGAGGUUUAAUGUCAAAUGUUGAUUUGCCUCUUGUGCACUCUUUGUGUGCCUGUGUCAGCAUGCCCUGUAUGUGUGUGUAUAGGGACAUGUGUGCAUGCUUGUUUGGUUGGUAGCUGAAUGUAAUGUGCUGAACAUCCAGAGGUUAACCCUGUGAAAGACUGUAGUGAUUGAAUGUUAGCAGUGAUAACAACACAAAGAUAAAUGUAUCCAAUCUAUAUAAAUAAAUAAAUAUAUAUAUAUAGAAUUGUUUUAUUUAAUGUACAGAACAUUUAUUUUAUUAUGUGUACAAAGUCUUUAUGUUGCAUUGCACCUUACAUUAUAGGUACUUCACAUCUAAUCAUGUAGAGCUUUAAAAACCUAUUUUUCCCUCACAACACUGUGUAAACAAAUUGUACAUUACUUAAAGAUGGGUUGGUGUUUUUUAUGUCAUAAGAAUGUAUAUUUUUGUACAGAUUGUGGCUACACUCUGAAAGAGUUUCUGGUUUCCUCAGUGAAAGAUGAUAAAACUAAACUCAAGUCA